rnacentral:rRNA from 1 species
AAGGAAUAUUGGACAAUGGAGGCAACUCUGAUCCAGCCAUGCCGCGUGAAGGAAUAAGGCCCUAUGGGUUGUAAACUUCUUUUAGACGGGACAAAACCCCUUUACGUGUAAAGGGUUGAUGGUACUGUCAGAAUAAGCAUCGGCUAACUUCGUGCCAGCAGCCGCGGUAAUACGAAGGAUGCAAGCGUUAUCCGGAAUUAUUGGGUUUAAAGGGUGCGUAGGCGGACUAAUAAGUCAGUGGUGAAAGCCUGCAGCUUAACUGCAGAAUUGCCAUUGAUACUGUUAGUCUUGAGUACAGUUGAGGUAGGCGGAAUGUGUCAUGUAGCGGUGAAAUGCUUAGAUAUGACACAGAACACCGAUUGCGAAGGCAGCUUGCUAAGCUGUAACUGACGCUGAGGCACGAAAGCGUGGGGAGCGAACA